UUCAUAGAAAUGAGAGGUAGGGAGGUUAUCCCAAAUUAUCGGCAAAUUCUUCCAAUUGCGCCUAAAAACAUGCAGCAAUAACAAAUUCUUCCAAAUGAACAUCCGAAUUGUGGCCUCAACACUCAUACAAUCCAUAAUAGAAGGAUUGUUCGUAACAUUAACGAGGAAGUGACCUUUGUAAGAGCUCUCCACACUGACAAUCUUGUAAAUACUGCUCAUAAUUCCGCCAUGCCGUGGUCCUUCUGAGUGCCAUGCGCUUGCUUCACGGGUUAUGUUUUCCAUCGGUGAUCAUGUCCUAUAUAUUUUCUUCAUUGUCCUGCGUUUUUUACCCAUCCCUUCAACCUUCCCAGGUGCCUAGUUUGAGCUAGUCACAUUAAAUGCUUCAAGGAAGAUGGCUUUAUUCAGAAGAAAUUUAAAGGGUGUGUUAAAAACAGUGCACUCUGAAGAUUCAAAGUUUCCACAGCAGGAACAUCCUGCUUGGAAGCCAAUUCCCACUCCACGAUGGGU